rnacentral:rRNA from 1 species
GACGAACGCUGGCGGCGUGCCUAACACAUGCAAGUCGAACGGAACUGUUUUGAAAGAUUUCUUCGGAAUGAAUUUGAUUUAGUUUAGUGGCGGACGGGUGAGUAACGCGUGAGUAACCUGCCUUCAAGAGGGGAAUAACAUUCUGAAAAGAAUGCUAAUACCGCAUGACAUAUCGGAACCACAUGGUUUUGAUAUCAAAGAUUUUAUCGCUUGAAGAUGGACUCGCGUCCGAUUAGUUAGUUGGUGAGGUAACGGCUCACCAAGACCGCGAUCGGUAGCCGGACGGAGGGGUUGACCGGCCACGUUGGGACUGAGACACGGCCCGGACCCCUGCGGGAGGCAGCGGGGGGGGAUAUUGCGCAAGGGGGGCAACCCUGACCCAGCAACCCCGCGGGAAGGAUGAAGGUUUUCGGAUUGUAAACUUUUUUUAUUAAGGCCAAAAAAUGCCGGUACUUAAUGAAUAAGCCCCGGCUAACUCCGU